UACCCCUGACAAGAGUUACCUCAUUGGUGUUGAUGUUCUUAUAGCAGUGGGCAAAGCAAAUGACCCUUAUUCAUUCUAUCUUGAUGCCUGGGUUGGUGACCAGAGCUAUUUCAUGCUUAGGGCAAAUUA